rnacentral:rRNA from 1 species
AUACGUAGGGGGCGAGCGUUGUCCGGAAUGAUUGGGCGUAAAGGGCGCGUAGGCGGCGCGGUAAGUCUGGAGUGAAAGUCCUGCUUUCAAGGUGGGAAUUGCUUUGGAUACUGCCGCGCUUGAGUGCGGGAGAGGUUAUCGGAAUUCCCGGUGUAGCGGUGAAAUGCGUAGAGAUCGGUAGGAACACCAGUGGCGAAGGCGGGUUACUGGGCUGCAACUGGCGCUGAGGCGCGAAAGUGUGGGGAGCGGACAGGAUGAGAUACCCUGAUAGUCCACGCGGUAAACGAGGAAUGCUAGGUGUAGGGUGUAGCGACCCCGCCUGUGCCGUAGGGAACACAAUAAGCAUUCCGCCUGGGGAGUACGGCCUCAAGGUUGAAGCUCAAAGGAAUUGACGGGG